rnacentral:rRNA from 1 species
ACGCUCGACACCUACGGGAGACAGCAGUGGGGAAUAUUGCACAAUGGGGGGAACCCUGAUGCAGCGACGCCGCGUGGAGGAAGAAGGUCUUCGGAUUGUAAACUCCUGUUGUUGGGGAAAAAGAGGAUGGUACCCAACAAGGAAGUGACGGCUAACUACGUGCCGGCAGCCACGGUAAUCUGAGCGGGCUGGCAAGGC